rnacentral:lncRNA from 1 species
AGUGAAUUAAAUUAUCUUAAACCCAUCCUCCUGCUGUUGGAGGUAUGAGUAGAUACCUUUAUAAAUGCUGUAUUUAAUUUUUGCUUAAUAAAAUUGUGAAAGUGAGCCACAGUAUUUCAGAGUUCCUCUUUAAAUAUUUGCAAGGCUGUAUUAAGUAAUGUAAUAAAGUACAUGUAUUGUAGUAUGUGUAUACAUUUUUCAUUCCCAGACAAAGCCAUGAUUAUUAAAGAGGUUUAAAAUAACAUGCACUAAUUUAUUAUCACCGGUUAUAAAGACUUUGGAAGGGUGCACUGAACAUUAUGUUAGCAUUGAUGUGUCAAUCUUUUAGUUGAAGGAUGGCACGUCUGAAUCCCAGAACAGCCUUAAUUAACAGAAAAUAAUUAGCAUCAUUUCCCCAGCAGAGAAUAUGAAGCUUUUUUUUUUUUCCAACAGAAUCCAUUGAUUGAUAAUUAAGGAGGAGUUAGUUGUAAUAAAACUCCCAGUAUUGCAAUUUCUAAUUGGCCUUUCAGGACAUUUUACAGUUACAGUUACUUUGUUCCAGGCGUUUUCUGCCUUUUGAAGAGUUUUAAUAAGAAUCUUUCCUCUCCAAAGCCAAGGCUCUGCAGGUGAUGAAGGAAGAGGAGGUGGCAGCGCAUGGGAGUGCAUUAAUAUCAGAAAUUUCAGUCCAACUUGGAACUUCAGCAAUAAUUCUGAGUUUACAGACAUUCAGCAAGGAUGAUCAGAUUGCACUUUUGGAAACAUCUAUUUCAAGUGUGAUGGCUUGUGUGCCUAGGGCAAGCAUCCUUUCUUUUCCUACUAAUAACAGGUUCAGCAGGCAAUAGCAGUGCUUACAGGUUCUUCAUUCUUCACAGACUGGUUGUGACCAGCAGUAACAUCUGAGGAACUGAUACGACCCUCAGAUUUAGAUAUUUCAAACAGCUCUUCCUGACAGAAAGUAAACAUUAGACUGGGUAGUUACUGGUCAUUUUUCUGAAAAUUUGGCUUCUACAGAAGCAGCAGCCUUAGGUAGGUAUCUUUGCAAACUCUCAUGCAUGUUAGUUAUUUGUCAGUUUUAACUGUUAUAAAUGCUAGAUUCUCUUAUCUAACUAUUCAAUUCUGUGUGUGUUUCUAAAACACAAUAUCAUGUAGUGGAAAUCUUGGAAGUAUUUUUCCCCCAGUAGUGUUUAGCUUGUUAUAACUUCUGCAACCUGAAAGAGUUUCCCAGAGAUUCCAAAGUGCAUCAAAUACCGGUGUCUGCUUCUUCAUUGCCUCUUCAAAUAUACCUACAUAAAAAAGGUCAAAAUGUUCUCAGCCAUCAGUGUCUCCUUAGAAAUGGAAGUAGCCCAGAGAAGAAAUUGUUCACUACAGGAUUCAUUGUUUCCAAGAUUCAAUAAACACUUAUUGAAAAUCCACUUGUGCUAGGCCAAGGUCAGGAAAACCAGGAUGAGUCACAUGGACAAACUAGUGAAAUAGAUUAAGAGUAAUAGUAGUAAAAAUGACUCUAGUAAUAAUGUUUAUUGACUCAAAUGUUCUAGGCAGUUUUCUGAGCACAUAAAAGUAUUAACCAAUUUAGCUCCCCCAUUAAUUCUAUGAGGGGGUUAUCAUUAUUGUUUUUGCUUUACGAAUAAGGGAUUGAGACUCAUGGAAUUCUAUUAAUAACUUAUUUUGUGUCAGGCCAAACAAUCAUUUAAUGGUGGAGCCAGGAUUUGAACCCAGGCAACUUAGUUUAAGACUUUAGCCCACAGAAGGGCAUGAUUUGCUGUCUAGAGGACCAGACAGGGAGGUUUCACAGAAGAGAUACCAAAAGGAUAAAUGGGUGUCCUCCGGGCAGGUAAGAAAGAAACUGGUAUUCUAAGCAGAGCGAACAGAAUUUAAAUAGGCUUACAAAACACAACACUAAGUAUGCUGUGGCACUGUGGCACUCGGAUGGGUAAUUUGAGAAAGUUUAAUACAGGAACUGAUUUAAUAGAAUGGGUGGAAUUUAAGGAAACCAACAAGGGGUGAUACAAUGCCCCUAGGGGCUAGUAAUAGCCGGGAGUUAUCACCACCUCAAGGCCUAAAAGGAACCUUUGGUAGAGGCAUGUAGCUGACACACAACAACCUAGUAUGGGGGAGCAGGGAAUACAUCCCCAGAUUCACUGCCCACCCCCCAACUCUAAGCUUGUACCUAUGCUGUUCAUGGCUGAAACCAGCUGGAAACCUGAGGGCCAAUGAAUCCCUGAAUGCUGUCCAUAAGGGUCAGCCUCCCUGGGUGAAGAGCAGGGUAAAUAUUGUGCACAGUUGAUCUAGACAGGCAAAUGGACAACCUCCAG